AAUAGAUACCCCGGUAGUCCACGCCGUAAACGAUGAGUGCUAAGUGUUAGGGGGUUUCCACCCCUUAGUGCUGCAGCUAACGCAUUAAGCACUCCGCCUGGGGAGUACGGUCGCAAGACUGAAACUCAAAGGAAUUGACGGGGGCCCGCACAAGCGGUGGAGCAUGUGGUUUAAUUCGAAGCAACGCGAAGAACCUUACCAGGUCUUGACAUCCCGCUGACCGCUAUGGAGACAUAGCCUUCCCUUCGGGGACAGCGGUGACAGGUGGUGCAUGGUUGUCGUCAGCUCGUGUCGUGAGAUGUUGGGUUAAGUCCCGCAACGAGCGCAACCCUUGUCCUUAGUUGCCAUCAUUCAGUUGGGCACUCUAAGGAGACUGCCGUACAAAUACGGAGGAAGGUGGGGAUGACGUCAAAUCAUCAUGCCCCUUAUGACCUGGGCUACACACGUGCUACAAUGGACGGUACAAACGGUCGCGAAGUCGCGAGACGGAGCCAAUCCGAAAAAACCGUUCUCAGUUCGGAUUGCAGGCUGCAACUCG
rnacentral:rRNA from 1 species